rnacentral:rRNA from 1 species
AAAUUGAAGAGUUUGAUCAUGGCUCAGAUUGAACGCUGGCGGCAGGCCUAACACAUGCAAGUCGAGCGGUAACAGGAGAAAGCUUGCUUUCUUGCUGACGAGCGGCGGACGGGUGAGUAAUGUAUGGGGAUCUGCCCGAUAGAGGGGGAUAACUACUGGAAACGGUGGCUAAUACCGCAUAAUGUCUACGGACCAA